GUAGGGAGCGAGCGUUAUCCGGAUUUAUUGGGUGUAAAGGGUGCGUAGACGGGAAUUUAAGUUAGUUGUGAAAUCCCUCGGCUCAACUGAGGAACUGCAACUAAAACUGGAUUUCUUGAGUGCUGGAGAGGAAAGCGGAAUUCCUAGUGUAGCGGUGAAAUGCGUAGAUAUUAGGAGGAACACCAGUGGCGAAGGCGGCUUUCUGGACAGUAACUGACGUUGAGGCACGAAAGUGUGGGGAGCAAA
rnacentral:rRNA from 1 species